UACGUAGGGUGCGAGCGUUGUCCGGAAUUAUUGGGCGUAAAGAGCUCGUAGGCGGUCUGUCGCGUCGAUCGUGAAAACUUGGGGCUUAACCCUGAGCUUGCGGUCGAUACGGGCAUGACUGGAGUUCGGCAGGGGAGACUGGAAUUCCUGGUGUAGCGGUGAAAUGCGCAGAUAUCAGGAGAACACCAGUGGCGAAAGCAGGCUUCUGGGACCGGUACUGACG
rnacentral:rRNA from 1 species